CCCUGGUUGAUCCUGCCAGUAGUUAUAUGCUUGUCUCAAAGACUAAGCCAUGCAUGUCUCAGUGCAAGCCGUAUUAAGGCGAUACCGCGAAUGGCUCAAUAUAUCAGUUUUGGUUCCUUAGAUCUUACUCGGUUACUUGGAUAACUGUGGUAAUUCUAGAGCUAAUACAUGCAAUCAGAACUCUGACCAGUGAUGGAACGAGUGCUUUUAUUAGAUCAAAACCAAUCGACGUAGGGCCUCGCGUCCGAAGUCGUUCAUUUUGAUGAAUCUGGAUAACUUUUGCCGAUCGCAUGGUCUCGUACCGGCGACGCAUCUUUCAAAUGUCUGCCUUAUCAACUUUCGAUGGUAGUUUCUGCGACUACCAUGGUUGUCACGGGUAACGGGGAAUCAGGGUUCGAUUCCGGAGAGGGAGCCUGAGAAACGGCUACCACAUCCAAGGAAGGCAGCAGGCGCGCAAAUUACCCACUCCCGGCACGGGGAGGUAGUGACGAAAAAUAACGAUACGGGACUCUUUAGAGGCCUCGUAAUCGGAAUGAGUACACUUUAAAUAUUUUAACGAGGAACAAUUGGAGGGCAAGUCUGGUGCCAGCAGCCGCGGUAAUUCCAGCUCCAAUAGCGUAUACUAAAAUUGUUGCGGUUAAAAAGCUCGUAGUUGCAUUUGUGCGCCGCGCUGUCGGUGCACCGCUUCUGCGGUGAUACUGACACGUCUGCGGAGCAUAUCGUCGGUGAGCCACCGGUAAAACGGUGGUUCAAUAUCAAAAUCCUAUCGCGGUGCUCUUCGGUGAGUGUCGAGAUGGGCCGACAAUUUUACUUUGAACAAAUUAGAGUGCUCAAAGCGGGCUCAAAAUGCUGCUUGAAUAUUUCGUGCAUGGAAUAAUAGAAUAUGAUCUCGGUUCUAUUUUGUUGGUUUUCAGAACUCCGAGGUAAUGAUUAAUAGGGAUAACUGGGGGCAUUCGUAUUGCGACGUUAGAGGUGAAAUUCUUGGAUCGUCGCAAGACGAACAUCAGCGAAAGCAUUUGCCAAAGGUGUUUUCAUCAAUCAAGAACGAAAGUUAGAGGUUCGAAGGCGAUUAGAUACCGCCCUAGUUCUAACCGUAAAUAUGUCAUCUAGCGAUCCGCCGACGUUAUCACAAUGGCUCGGCGGGCAGCUUCCGGGAAACCAAAGAUUUUGGACUCCGGGGGGAGUAUGGUUGCAAAGCUGAAACUUAAAGGAAUUGACGGAAGGGCACCACCAGGAGUGGAGCCUGCGGCUUAAUUUGACUCAACACGGGAAAUCUCACCAGGCCCGGACACCGGAAGGAUUGACAGAUUAACAGCUCUUUCUUGAUUCGGUGGGUGGUGGUGCAUGGCCGUUCUUAGUUGGUGGAGCGAUUUGUCUGGUUAAUUCCGGUAACGAACGAGACUCUAGCCUGCUAAAUAGGCGUCGUCAUUUAGGUGCGCGUGACUUUCGUCACGCAACUCACUGGCGACGUAUUAAAAUUCUUCUUAGAGGGACC
rnacentral:rRNA from 1 species